rnacentral:rRNA from 1 species
UACGAACUGUGCAAACGUUUAUUCGGAAUCACUGGGCUUAAAGGGUGCGUAGGCGGUUUGUUAAGUAGGGUGUGAAAGCCCCCGGCUCAACCGGGGAAUUGCGCCCUAAACUGGCGGACUAGAGUGAGAUAGGGGUGUGCGGAACUUCCGGUGGAGCGGUGAAAUGUGUUGAUAUCGGAAGGAACGCCGGUGGCGAAAGCGGCACACUGGGUCUCAACUGACGCUGAGGCACGAAAGCCAGGGGAGCAAACGGG